AUCCCCUCAGGAUCAUACCUGGAGAGUUUCCAGUCCUCUACCAGUCUCGGCUACGGGAGGGAGAGUCAAGCAGAGGCCAGUCCAUUUCAUUCCUAGCUUGGGCAGUGGCUAGCGAGUGGAAGACAAUCUGCUAUAAGU